ensembl:lncRNA
GAAGAAGGAGCUCUGAGUUAGGAAGAUUGUCUACCCUUGAGCCACCUGGAAAACCCCUGGAAAGGGAAGGAUAGCCCCCAAACCAGGCACAAGAUUCACCCACUCCCAGCUCAUCCUUCUGAAGACUACCGGAUCCCAGGACCCUGAUGCAAGGCCGAAGGGUUGCAAGAAACUGUGCAAGGCGGAUUCUUAACCACCGGACCACCAGAGAAGUCCCUAGGAAUAAACUGUUGCCUGAAUGUUUUCAAUUGGAGAUAAAGUGCAACAGGAAAGAUUGGGAUGGUGGAGAGAGAACGUCCAAGGUCCUUUUCAUUAUACUCUGCUGAUACUUUCUGAGUUCUUCAGUGAAAAACUUGAAUGUCCUGCUUGCCAUUAAUAAAACC